rnacentral:rRNA from 1 species
ACGCACGCUGGCGGCAUGCCUCACACAUGCCAGUCGCACGAACCCUUCGGGGUUAGUGGCGCACGGGUGCGUAACGCGUGGGAAUCUGCCCUUUGCUUCGGAAUAACUCAGGGAAACUUGUGCUAAUACCGGAUGAUGUCUUCGGACCAAAGAUUUAUCGGCAAGGGAUGAGCCCGCGUAGGAUUAGGUAGUUGGUGGGGUAAAGGCCUACCAAGCCGACGAUCCUUAGCUGGUCUGAGAGGAUGAUCAGCCACACUGGGACUGAGACACGGCCCAGACUCCUACGGGAGGCGGCAGUGGGGAAUAUUGGACAAUGGGCGCAAGCCUGAUCCAGCAAUGCCGCGUGAGUGAUGAAGGCCCUCGGGUCGUAAAGCUCUUUUACCAGGGAUGAUAAUGACAGUACCUGGAGAAUAAGCUCCGGCUAACUCCGUG